rnacentral:rRNA from 1 species
GACGAACGCUGGCGGCGUGCUUAACACAUGCAAGUCGAACGCUGAAGCUUGGUGCUUGCACUGGGUGGAUGAGUGGCGAACGGGUGAGUAAUACGUGAGUAACCUGCCCUUGACUCUGGGAUAAGCCUGGGAAACUGGGUCUAAUACUGGAUAUGACAUGCCACUGCAUGGUGGUGUGUGGAAAGGGUUUUACUGGUUUUGGGUGGGCUCACGGCCUAUCAGCUUGUUGGUGGGGUAAUGGCCUACCAAGGCGACGACGGGUAGCCGGCCUGAGAGGGUGACCGGCCACACUGGGACUGAGACACGGCCCAGACUCCUACGGGAGGCAGCAGUGGGGAAUAUUGCACAAUGGGCGGAAGCCUGAUGCAGCGACGCCGCGUGAGGGAUGACGGCCUUCGGGUUGUAAACCUCUUUCAGCACGGAAGAAGCGAGAGUGACGGUACGUGCAGAAGAAGCGCCGGCUAACUACGUG